GCGUCAGCGGAAUUUGCCCAGUUUACAAAAGAGUGGCAAAUUGAACACCGAACAUCGAGCCCACACUAUCCUCAAUCUAAUGGACGUGCCGAAAAUGCAGUGAAAACUUGUAAAUCCCUAUUAAAGAAAGCAAAAGCCAGCGGUGAAGAUCCUCUAUUAGCAUUACUAGAUUGGAGGAACACCCCGACUGAAAAUAUUGGAACCUCACCAGCGCAAAGAUUAAUGGGUCGACGUACUCGUACAUUGCUUCCCACACAUCAGAGUCUUCUUAAAACACCGGAACAAAACGGAACAAAGAAGGAAUUAGAGAACCGCAAAG